UGUAAUGGAAGUUAUUGUGGGCCGAGAACUCACAAAUUGGUGUCCAAUGAGCCCCUAUAUUAAGUCUUUGUUGACCGCAGAUUGUUGCAGAUCCGUCUUAAAGAACUGUGCUCACGAACCGGAUGAGAAGUCGUCGUGGCCUAAAGGAUUAAAUGGCCGGUGUAUUGAUAUGUAGCGAUUCAUCGGUAUUGGAAUCCCGCCGACAGAGUUGUGCUGGUAAAUUGUGUCAUACUAUCUGGACGUAUGGAAUGAUACAAACUUAGAGCAAACUGAGAAAGUGUACAGUGGCGUUGCAGUGUUUCAUCUUUUCAAGGUGAUAAGAAUUUAUAAUCUUAGAACAAUUAUGUUAACAACAAAUGUAAUUAAGAUUAAAAACAUUGUGAGGCAUUUUGAAAAUUUCAGUAUUAUAUUUUAUUAAUUUACAUUUAAACAUAACAUUUAAAUUUCAUUCAAUCUUAAUUACAUAAUACAUAUAUUGGGCUUAUCCAAUAUUUCAAAAUGUAUUUAUAUAUUAUGUAUUAUUAAACGCAAAAUCAGGAUCGGAUUAGUUCUCUGAAAUUGUUAGAUGUCGUAAAACAUUGUUAUUAAUAAAAAAAUUAAAACAAC